rnacentral:rRNA from 1 species
GGAAUAUUGCACAAUGGGCGCAAGCCUGAUGCAGCCAUGCCGCGUGUGUGAAGAAGGCCUUCGGGUUGUAAAGCACUUUCAGCGAGGAGGAAGGGUUCAGUGUUAAUAGCACUGUGCAUUGACGUUACUCGCAGAAGAAGCACCGGCUAACUCCGUGCCAGCAGCCGCGGUAAUACGGAGGGUGCAAGCGUUAAUCGGAAUUACUGGGCGUAAAGCGCACGCAGGCGGUUUGUUAAGUCAGAUGUGAAAUCCCCGCGCUUAACGUGGGAACUGCAUUUGAAACUGGCAAGCUAGAGUCUUGUAGAGGGGGGUAGAAUUCCAGGUGUAGCGGUGAAAUGCGUAGAGAUCUGGAGGAAUACCGGUGGCGAAGGCGGCCCCCUGGACAAAAACUGACGCUCAGGUGCAAAAGCGUGGGGAGCAAACAGGAUUAUAUACCCUGGUAGUCCACGCUGUAAACGAUGUCGACUUGGAGGUU